UACCCUUCGCCGCGGUGCAAUCCUUUUCUAAAUCUGAAAAAAAAAGCUCUGGAACUCUCCUUCUAUGUCACAAUUCUCUCUCAAACCCUAGCAUUCUUCUUCCCCCCCUCCCUGAAUCUCUCCUUGAUAUCUUCCUCCAAUCUUUAAUGGAUUCAUCUUUCUUUGAUUUUGUCCCAAGUCUUUCCAUCCCGGCGGAAGAGAGAGAAACAGAGGGCGGAAGAGAGAGAAAGACGUCGACCUUUUGCUAUGCUCAACGUUCUACCAUUUCUUCGCCAAUUGCGCUAGGAGUUUGCUUCAGAUUUGUAAGCAGUGAAGGCCAGUUUUGAUGUUGCUGGUGAUAAAUUCAAUGUCAUGCUGCUGACAAGGCCCACAUGUUUGCAGAACAGUUUCAUAUUUGUUUUAUGAAGGGAGAAAUAGUGCCAUAAUUGUCGUUUCAUCUGAAAGCAAAUUGAUACACGAAGGAUUAGCGAGUAUAUUUUCCAUCUUUUAAAACUUGUGUGAUUGUAGCUCUUAGUGGAAUUUCAUAUCCAACCUGUUCAAACUUUGGUUGUCGCUAUUGUGGCCUCCAUUGCUUUGGGAGAGCAAUUCUACUUGGGAGGGAUCCUUGGGGAAACAUUGAUCAUAGCGGGAUUAUACCAAGUGUUGUGGGGUAAGAGUGAGGAGGCAAAGUUCGCCAAGGCUGCAAUUCAGUUUCCAGCGGAACACGGAAACAGAUCAACAAGCCAAGCAAAGUCCCUUAUCCAACCACUCCUUUUCUCUUGAAACAAAUGUGGUGCUUGAGCGAAUCAAGUCACCCUGUGCGUCCAAGCCAAUACAAGCAGAAUCUUUGGAAAGUGAGCGUGUUGGCAUGGAGUAUGACUGUGCUUUCAGUACAGACUCAUCCUUGCUGGAAAACAGUUCUAAUACUUCCUUUUACACUGAAGCCCUACCACUUAUGGCCAGUAGCUGACAUGACAGUUUAAGAUGAACCAACCUCGGGUUUGGACUCUUCAAUGACAUUAAGGAUCAUUCAGGUGUAGAUGACAAGGUACAUAUGGGCGACCAAGAAACCGAGAAAAUCAUCUGCUGCACUAAUCCAUGAUGGUAGAAAUGAUGGAGGAUAUGGCUAGGCUCCUCCACCUGCACCUUCUUAUGGUGGAGCUGUGCCAAGCCCUUAUGGAGCAAACCCUGCAUAUGGGAAUGACUCUGCUGUCCCACCAACAACAAAAGCUAUACUGGUGGGCCUGGAUCAUAUCCUCUAUCAUAUGGAGGGCCUGCUGGUUCUGGCCGCGGCGGUCCACCUAGUGGUGGGUAUGGUGGUGAUGCUUUUGGAGAUUAUCGCGGUGCUGGCCGCGGUGGUCCACCUAUUGGUGGGUAUGGUGGUGGUCAAAGGCAGCCGAGUGGUGGUUAUGGUGGCGAUGCUCCAACAUCUGCUAAACCUGCAAAAGUGAAACAAUGUGAUGAAAACUGCGGAGAUUCUUGUGACAACUCAAGGAUUUAUAUCUCAAAUUUGCCACCAGAUGUUGCUAUUGAAGAACUCAGAGAACUUUUUGGAAGCAUUGGAACUGUCGCAAGAAUCAAGCAAAAGAGUUAUGAAUCAGUUAAGUUCAGCUAAUGGUGAUGAACCAGGGAAAGUUCAGAAUCUUUUUCAGCAACUUGGCGAGAUGAAUUUGAAUGCUGGAGCUCUUUGGAGAAAGUAUGAACUCCGCACAAUGAGGUUAUCUCAGGAAUUGGCCGAGCAGCUACGUAUAGUCAUGGAACCUACACUUAGAGCCAUAAGUAAUAAAUUAUUGUCAUGUUUAAUUAUAAUAGCGCUUAGAGCCAUGGGUUCAUCAAUUUUACUGGCUCCCAGUUUUUUUACUACUAUUUUAUGUUGAAUGUUUGUGCAAAAAAGGUUAUGGAGGCUAGUACCUAGUAACAAUGCAUUAUUAUUAUAUUGAA